AGCGAACGCUGGCGGCAGGCCUAACACAUGCAAGUCGAACGAACCUUUCGGGGUUAGUGGCGGACGGGUGAGUAACACGUGGGAACGUGCCUUUAGGUUCGGAAUAACUCAGGGAAACUUGUGCUAAUACCGAAUGUGCCCUUCGGGGGAAAGAUUUAUCGCCUUUAGAGCGGCCCGCGUCUGAUUAGCUAGUUGGUUGAGGUAAUGGCUCACCAAGGCGACGAUCAGUAGCUGGUCUGAGAGGAUGAUCAGCCACAUUGGGACUGAGACACGGCCCAAACUCCUACGGGAAGCAGCAGUGGGGAAUCUUGCGCAAUGGGCGAAAGCCUGACGCAGCCAUGCCGCGUGAAUGAUGAAGGUCUUAGGAUUGUAAAAUUCUUUCACCGGGGAUGAUAAUGACGGUACCCGGAGAAGAAGCCCCGGCUAACUUCGUG
rnacentral:rRNA from 1 species